AAAAAAAGGGGAGGGCUCUCUCAUUUCUCUCUGGCCAAAGCAAGAAUCUGGCGAGGAAACCGUCGUAGGGUCACCGCCGGCCCUCCGAAAGGUACUUUUUUAUAUUUUUUUGUAUUUUUUAAAUAUGUUUGUAAUAUUCGUAUAUUUGCAAGGAAAUAGAUUCAGAAAUAAGAAAGAAAUAAAAUAAAAUCACCUUAGGUUUUCGGGUUUGAUUUUCGGUAUUUUUCUCUGAUUUGAGACCAUCCCCUGUUUUGGUGUUGCUAAAGUCACUAUUUCACUUGUAUUUUAAAAUCGAAUGCUUCGUAUUUGCAAAGAAAAAAUUGCCAAAUGUUACAAAAAAUUUUGGCUUGGCUUUUUAAAGUCAUUUUACAUGCUUUGUUUAUCACUUUCUGUCUCUUAUUCAUUUAAUUUUGCAGGUGCAAGUGAGCGACAAGGCGAUGGAGCAAGUGGGCAAGUGCGGCUGGUGGCAGAAGGUUAGCUAGGGUUUCAGCCUUUCUGGAACCCUAGUUUAACUAAUGGGUCAAUUGGGCUUGGGCUAUUAGGUUUAAUUUGUAAAUGGACAUUUUGGAUUGUUUUUGUAUUUGUCUAAUUUAGGCUUGGGCCGGCAAUUUUGUCACAUAAUCUAUGCAUCAUCUUAUCUUAAACCCAAU
rnacentral:lncRNA from 1 species